UAACACGUGGCCAACCUGCCUCCGCGACGGGGACAACCCUCCGAAAGGAGGGCUAAUACCCGAUGGUCUUCUUGGGGCGCGAGCCUCGGGAAGUAAAGGCGUUUCGGCGCCACGCGGAGAAGGGGCUGCGGCCCAUCAGCUAGUUGGCGGGGUAAUGGCCCACCAAGGCGAUGACGGGUAGGGGGCCUGAGAGGGCGGCCCCCCACAUGGGGACUGAGACACGGCUCCGACUCCUACGGGAGGCAGCAGUGGGGAAUCUUGGGCAAUGGGCGAAAGCCUGACCCAGCGACGCCGCGUGGGGGACGAAACCCUUCGGGGUGUAAACCCCUUUUCUGGGGGAAGAAUAAAGCGGGGAGGGAAUGCCUCGCCGAUGACGGUACCCCAGGAAUAAGCCCCGGCUAACUACGUGCCAGCAGCCGCGGUAAGACGUAGGGGGCGAGCGUUACCCGGAAUCACUGGGCGUAAAGGGCGCGUAGGCGGUUCGGUAAGUCGUCUGUGAAAGCCCCCGGCUCAACUGGGGGAGGUCGGACGAAACUACCGGGCUGGAGGACGGCAGAGGAAGGUGGAACGGCCGGAGUAGCGGUGAAAUGCGUAGAUACCGGCCGGUAUCCCGAUGG
rnacentral:rRNA from 1 species